UUUUCUGCUCCAUGAGAGCCGACCCUCUCUCUCUUCAACAAGAAACAUGACAUGUAUGUAAUCUUAUUUUAUAGUAGGCACAAGUAUAUUUAUUUUUCAAAUUCUGGUAUAACUUGUGGAAAAAUAAUACUAUGACAAGGGGUAAUCAGAGGGAAAAGGCUCGAGAAAAAAAUAUGAAAAAGCAGAAGGAUAACGAAAAGUCUAAAACAGGAGGAGAGAAAGGAACAAACCAAGGUCAGACGUUACAAUCAAGGCAAGAAAGAGAUGCACAAUUGAUGAGAGAUAAACAAAAAAAAGCAGAAGAAAAAUAAACUGCCAUAUAAAAUUUUCCUUUAACAUAUUCACAGACUAUUGUAUAUCAAUUUUUUAAAAUUUAAUAUUAUUUAUGACUAUGCUUUUAUAUUAAUAUAUCAUUUAGUUAACUUUAUCUAAUAAAAUUAAAGCUUUUUAGUA